UACGUAGGGGGCAAGCGUUGUCCGGAAUUAUUGGGCGUAAAGAGCGUGUAGGCGGCCAGAUAAGUCCGCUGUGAAAUCUCGAGGCUCAACUUCGAGCUGUCGGUGGAAACUAUCUGGCUAGAGUCCGGAAGAGGAGAAUGGAAUUCCUGGUGUAGCGGUGAAAUGCGCAGAUAUCAGGAAGAACACCCGUGGCGAAGGCGGUUCUCUGGGACGGUACUGACGCUGAGGUGCGAAAGCGUGGGGAGCAAACAGG
rnacentral:rRNA from 1 species